CCUACGGGUGGCAGCAGUGGGGAAUAUUGCACAAUGGGGGAAACCCUGAUGCAGCGACGCCGCGUGAGUGAAGAAGUACUUCGUUAUGUAAAGCUCUAUCAGCAGGGAAGAAAAUGACGGUACCUGAGUAAGAAGCCCCUGCUAACUACGUCCCAGCAACCGCGGUAAUACGUAGGGGGCAAGCGUUAUCCGGAUUUAAUGGGUGUAAAGGUAGCGUAGACGGCAGGGCAAGUCGGAAGUGAAAGUCGGGGGCUCAACCCCGGGACUGCUUUUGAAACUGUACGGCUGGAGUGCAGGAGAGGGAAGUGGAAUUCCUGGUGUAGCGGUGAAAUGCGUAGAUAUUAGGAGGAACACCAGUGGCGAAGGCGGCUUACUGGACUGUAACUGACGUUGAGGCUCGAAAGCGUGGGGAGCAAACAGGAUUAGAUACCCCUGUAGUC
rnacentral:rRNA from 1 species